rnacentral:rRNA from 1 species
GACGAACGCUGGCGGCGUGCUUAACACAUGCAAGUCGAACGGAAAGGCCCUGCUUUUGUGGGGUGCUCGAGUGGCGAACGGGUGAGUAACACGUGAGUAACCUGCCCUUGACUUUGGGAUAACUUCAGGAAACUGGGGCUAAUACCGGAUAGGAGCUCCUGCUGCAUGGUGGGGGUUGGACAGUUUCGGCGGUUGGGGAUGGACUCGCGGCGUAUCAGCUUGUUGGUGGGGUAGUGGCUUACCAAGGCUUUGACGGGUAGCCGGCCUGAGAGGGUGACCGGCCACAGUGUGACUGAGAUACGGCCCAGACUCCUACGGGAGGCAGCAGUGGGGAAUAUUGCACAAUGGGCGGAAGCCUGAUGCAGCAACGCCGCGUGCGGGAUGACGGCCUUCGGGUUGUAAACCGCUUUCGCCUGUGACGAAGCGUGAGUGACGGUAAUGGGUAAAGAAGCACCGGCUAACUACGUGCCAGCAGCCGCAGUAA